AGAGUUUGCACCACGGUGACUCACUGGUUCACGUAUCUCAGCAACCCAUUUCCCCCAAACCCUUUGUCGAACACCUCUAAACCGACAAACAGGAUUCUCUGGUCCACCUUUUCCUCUCAUACAACCUUUCUUCGAACCUUUGGCUUGAACCCUACGAGCUCUCGCCAAUCCUUCUUCCUCCCAUCUCUGUAACGUCGCUUCCACU